GAAUCGGCCAAAUGGUGCUACAGUGUGAGAUUGGCCGGUGACUUCUGUCUCGCUUCGGGUCGAACGUGCCGGAGUCCCAAUCGGUAGCCUUUUACCGAUGAGGAAUCGGCCGAUUAGGAGGAUGGGUUAAUUGGGCCUGCAUGGGCUUGGAAAGGAAUAAAGGGAUGAGGUGGAGAUCAGCCCAUGAAGCGUGGAGUAACCAACCUAGCACGAAUCGUGCUUGUAGAUAUCCGUUUUCUGUUUGAAUUAGGGAUAGAAUUCUAGUCGGUUAAGAAGUUAUCUGUACGGGGCUAUAAAUAGC
rnacentral:lncRNA from 1 species